rnacentral:rRNA from 1 species
AGUGAACGCUGGCGGUAGGCCUAACACAUGCAAGUCGAACGGCAGCACAGUAAGAGCUUGCUCUUACGGGUGGCGAGUGGCGGACGGGUGAGGAAUACAUCGGAAUCUACUUUUUCGUGGGGGAUAACGUAGGGAAACUUACGCUAAUACCGCAUACGACCUACGGGUGAAAGCAGGGGAUCUUCGGACCUUGCGCGAUUGAAUGAGCCGAUGUCGGAUUAGCUAGUUGGCGGGGUAAAGGCCCACCAAGGCGACGAUCCGUAGCUGGUCUGAGAGGAUGACCAGCCACACUGGAACUGAGACACGGUCCAGACUCCUACGGGAGGCAGCAGUGGGGAAUAUUGGACAAUAGGCGCAAGCCUGAUCCAGCCAUACCGCGUGGGUGAAGAAGGCCUUCGGGUUGUAAAGCCCUUUUGUUGGGAAAGAAAAGCAGCAGGUUAAUACCCCGCUGUUCUGACGGUACCCAAAGAAUAAGCACCGGCUAACUUCGUG